rnacentral:rRNA from 1 species
GAUGAACGCUGGCGGCGUGCCUAAUACAUGCAAGUCGAGCGAACAGACGAGGAGCUUGCUCCUCUGACGUUAGCGGCGGACGGGUGAGUAACACGUGGAUAACCUACCUAUAAGACUGGGAUAACUUCGGGAAACCGGAGCUAAUACCGGAGAAUAUAUUGAACCGCAUGGUUCAAUAGUGAAAGACGGUUUUGCUGUCACUUAUAGAUGGAUCCGCGCCGCAUUAGCUAGUUGGUAAGGUAACGGCUUACCAAGGCAACGAUGCGUAGCCGACCUGAGAGGGUGAUCGGCCACACUGGAACUGAGACACGGACCAGACUCCUACGGGAGGCAGCAGUAGCGAAUCUUCCGCAAUAGGCGAAAGCCUGACGGAGCAGCGCCGCGUGAGUUAUGAAGGUCUUCGGAUCGUAAAACUCUGUUAUUAGGGAAGAACAAAUGUGUCAGUAACUAUGCCCGUCUUGACGGUACCUAAUCAGAAAGCCCCGGCUAACUACGUG